rnacentral:rRNA from 1 species
AGCGAACGCUGGCGGCAGGCCUAACACAUGCAAGUCGAACGGAUACUUCGGGAUUAGUGGCGGACGGGUGAGUAACACGUGGGAACGUGCCCUUUGGUUCGGGACAACCCAGGGAAACUCGGGCUAAUACCGGAGGUGCCCUUCGGGGGAAAGAUUUAUCGCCAUUGGAGCGGCCCGCGUCUGAUUAGCUAGUUGGCGAGGUAAAGGCUCAACAAGGCGACGAUCAGUAGCUGGUCGGAGAGGCUUAUCAGCCACAUUGGGACUGAGACAAGGCCCAAACUCCUACGGGAGGCAGCAGUGGGAAAUCUUGCGCAAUGGGCGAAAGCCUGACGCAGCCAUGCCGCGUGAAUGAUGAAGGUCUUAGGAUUGUAAAAUUCUUUCACCGGGGACGAUAAUGACGGUACCCGGAGAAGAAGCCCCGGCUAACUUCGUGCCAGCAGCCGCCGUAACAC